GCACACACUGGCAAAUGAGAAAAAAACCCCGUAAAUAAUGUAGCAGUAUUUAUAAGAAAGUAGUAUAUUAAUGCAACACUUUUAAACCAGUAAAAUUGCUUUUGAGUUUGUCAUGUACAACAAUAGCAAUGGAGUUAGCCAUUUUAAGUCUGAUUUUUUUUUUUUUUCCCUUGAACAAAUGUAGUAAGUUUUUCAAAAGCAGCCAUGGAUUCUGAGUCAUCCCUUGAGAUCCCUUCAAUCUGCUAUUUGGAGAUGAAAAUGGAGAGUUCAACUAUUCUGCUUUCCUGGCUGCUUCAACUGUGCAAUUGUUAUUCCUCUGUAAUAGUGCUUCUUUGCCUACUCGUUUCAAGCAAAGAAUAAAAGUCAAGUAAUACUAACAGGACAAUGUAAUACUUUCAUUCAACAGCUGGAAUUACGGAAGACAGAAUUAAUCUUUGCAUAGCAGCACACUGCUCAAAAGGUGUUGUUCAGGUUUACAGUUUCAUGUUUAACAGAUUAAAUCCCAAAUGAGACAUACAGUUGGAGGUGUGUAAGAUAUUUCAGUGUAGAGUCCUUGACAGCUGAGAAGCUAAGGUUUUAGGAAGCUCUUUUUGAUAUGAAACUUCUUUUCCUCAAAACAGCUAAUAUGAACUCUCUCUCUCGCACUCUCUCAUUCAAGUGAAACAGUGUUUUUAUCCUAAUUGACAGCUGUUUCUAUGUUAAUGCAAUACUAGGGCCUGAGUGUGUUACUCAUAUUUGCAAUAAAUGAGUGCUUACCCAAGUCAGUCACUGAAACCAGCAGUGCUGCUAAGUGCUCUCCUAUGGGAGUUUAUACAAUCAAGCCCUUAAUGAACAUUCUGGCAAAUUUCCCCUUUAAAUUUCUUUUACUGGAACAACACUCUUGCUAUUGAACUAGGUCAUUAAAAGUAGCAUCCCUUUAUGGUAACUUGACCAUGGGAACAGUCAUUUCAUUCUACAUCCUCUUCACAGGUACGUUGCCUGUGUACUGGACCAUUGCGGAAGCUACUAAAAUAAGCGGAAGCUCUAACUGCAUAAAAACCAUGGAGCUGGGCACUUUAAUUUUGUGGGGGGAAUAAUCAGGGUAAUUUCUACACUGUUUAUUCUCCUCUCUUUGAAGUUUCUUUCCAAAAUGUAUUUCACCAUCCUUUAUUUAACUUAGACUUUUUUAUUUAGAUAAAAUACAAGAUUAUCAUUUUUUAUUAAAUACUUGUAUGAAACAAAAUCAAAAGGCUUUUAUUUCAGUGUCUUUUAGUGACUGUGUUCUGCUCUGCUGUGAAACAUAAUUAUGUGGUUUCCUAAUCAUCAGCUCACCAGUAAGAGUCAUAAUAAGGCGCCUGUUACAUUACAGAAAAGCUUUUUACUAUCUUAAUCUUAUUUUUGUUUUCAACGCACAUUGUGUUCUGAUACAACAAAGCAUGGCAGAACACUUUCCUUGGAGUAACACUAUAAAUUACUAAUGCACUUGUGAAUGCUGUCUUUCAGUGAUCUGUGCAUGUUAAGUCUCAGACUUCCAAGCUGUUAGGAAGUUAAAAAUGUUUUACACACUUUUAUUUUAUAUGUGUAUUACCAGAAUUUUACAGCUUCAUGGCAUUGGUAGCAGGAAUUAUAUCAUCAUAUUUAGUCACCCACAGAUAUAUCUCUUUAUGCUCAGUUACUUUGUUUUGCUUUUAAUUGCUUGUUCAUUUUCACUGCUAAUAUACAUUUGAAAUAGAUAAAAAAUAUGAAGUUGUCAAACUUCUCCUAUGUGCUUCCUAUUGACAUGUCCCAGAUGGCCAGAUCCAGCUCCCAUUGAAAUCAGUGGCAAAGAUCCUACUGGAUUUAAUGGGAACAGGACCAGACCCUAAAUGGAAACAGUUAUACAAUAUUAAUUGCUUAGUUGGAAAGUAUAGCUCUGCAGUGAAGCCUCUGUGCACAUUUAUGUAGUAUGACAAAGAUUUUCAUCUCCUCCUCACACAAUUUGUAAAGAUUGGGUAUGCUAACCACUUCCAAAUUAAAUUCUAACCUUGCAUUUGAUGACAACCAGUUAAGUCUUUCAUACUGUAUAAAAGCUAUACUUGCAGCCAAGAAUUUGAACAGUACUAUAGUUUAUUUCAGCAAAGGGUCGUUACCUCAUCUCAAAACAGCAUUACACUAUUAUAAAUGUGCAACAAGUGUGUUGAGUGUUAUUCACUGACCAAUACAUUCAGGGAACGGUUCUGUGUCUAUCUGAAAGACUCAUUUUAUCUGUCUGUUCAGCCUUCAGAUUUUUCCUUCCCUAUCACCCAUUCACUUGGCUUUUGUGUGUAAUGGCAGAUUACCUUAUGAAAAGCAAAUCCUGUUGUUGAACUUGAUUAUUUUUCCUUGUAACACUAAAUUGCUGGCACUGAUGUAUUCAUAAUCAACAUAUAUAUUGUAGUGUAGAAUAUGUUUACUUUAGAUGAAAUAUUUAGGCUAAAUAAAAGAUGAAUAUUUAAUAUA